GAGUUUGAUCUUGGCUCAGAUUGAACGCUGGCGGCAUGCCUUACACAUGCAAGUCGAACGGCAGCACGGGAGCUUGCUCCUGGUGGCGAGUGGCGAACGGGUGAGUAAUGCAUCGGAACGUAUCCUGGAGUGGGGGGAUAACGUAGCGGAAGUUACGCUAAUACCGCAUAUUCUGUGAGCAGGAAAGCGGGGGACCUUCGGGCCUCGCGCUCUUGGAGCGGCCGAUGUCGGAUUAGCUAGUUGGUGAGGUAAAGGCUCACCAAGGCGACGAUCCGUAGCAGGUCUGAGAGGAUGAUCUGCCACACUGGAACUGAGACACGGUCCAGACUCCUACGGGAGGCAGCAGUGGGGAAUUUUGGACAAUGGGGGCAACCCUGAUCCAGCCAUGCCGCGUGAGUGAAGAAGGCC
rnacentral:rRNA from 1 species